AUUGAACGCUGGCGGCAUGCUUUACACAUGCAAGUCGAACGGCAGCGCGGGCUUCGGCCUGGCGGCGAGUGGCGAACGGGUGAGUAAUGCAUCGGAACGUGCCCAGUAGUGGGGGAUAGCCCGGCGAAAGCCGGAUUAAUACCGCAUACGACCUGAGGGUGAAAGCGGGGGACCGAAAGGCCUCGCGCUAUUGGAGCGGCCGAUGUCGGAUUAGCUAGUCGGUGGGGUAAAGGCUUACCCAGGCGACGAUCCGUAGCUGGUCGGAGAGGACGACCAGCCACACUGGGACUGAGACACGGCCCAGACUCCUACGGGAGGCAGCAGUGGGGAAUUUUGGACAAUGGGGGCAACCCUGAUCCAGCCAUGCCGCGUGCGGGAAGAAGGCCUUCGGGUUGUAAACCGCUUUUGUUCGGGAAGAAAUCCUCUGGGCUAAUACCCCGGGGGGAUGACGGUACCGGAAGAAUAAGCACCGGCUAACUACGU
rnacentral:rRNA from 1 species